GUGGCGUAAUGGUUAGCGUAUUGGACCAGGACUCCAGCGGGCCUAGUUUCAAAUCCCCACUGGGCCA